rnacentral:rRNA from 1 species
AUUGAACGCUGGCGGCAUGCCUAACACAUGCAAGUCGAACGGCAGCACGGGAGUUUGCUCCUGGUGGCGAGUGGCGGACGGGUGAGUAAUGCAUAGGAAUCUGCCCAGUAGCGGGGGACAACUUGGGGAUACUCAAGCUAAUACCGCAUGCGCCCUACGGGGGAAAGCGGGGGACCUUCGGGCCUCGCACUAUUGGAUGAGCCUAUGUCAGAUUAGCUUGUUGGUGGGGUAACGGCCUACCAAGGCGACGAUCUGUAGCUGGUCUGAGAGGACGAUCAGCCACACUGGGACUGAGACACGGCCCAGACUCCUACGGGAGGCAGCAGUGGGGAAUAUUGCACAAUGGGCGAAAGCCUGAUGCAGCAAUGCCGCGUGUGUGAAGAAGGCCUGCGGGUUGUAAAGCACUUUCAGUAGGGAGGAAACAGUAGCCGGUUAAUAUCCGGUUGCCUUGACGUUACCUACAGAAGAAGCACCGGCUAACU